GACUUGUGAGAGUCGGAGCUGGUCUGCUGGCAAUGAACUUCUCGGCUGCUCCAGUUGGUCACUGUGGCUCUUUUGCUCCUGUGGAUAGAUCCCCAGCCUGCAGAUGCUGAAAACCAGACUGGAUUUGUCGCUCAGAGCACACCUCCCUCCUCCCACGCACGUGGUCUCCACCGCACAUGUGCGGGUACAGAUGGGAACCGUCUCUGCAAACAAACUGAAGAUGAUUCAAGAGUCAUUCUAAUGAGCAGUGAAUGUGGCCUGAUUACUGCAUUCGCAAAAAACCUUAUUUUUUUUCCCCCCCCAACAUUGCAAAGCUUGGCCCAGGGCCUCCUCAUAGGCUUACAAAUAUGCUUAAACCUACUUUAGAUGUUGACUUGCUGAGUCUCUACCAGGCCCUGGCUCCCAAUCUCACAGUCACUCGUAGAACAGAUGCUUCCCGAUGUA
rnacentral:lncRNA from 1 species